GAGAACCCCAGUUUUGUUCCAAUAAGAGGCAGAAACCUCUUGGUCUCAGGAAAGAUAGACUCCAUCCCCCAGCCUUGUGAUGAAUUCUAUUUGGGUUGAGACAGUCACAGUAAAUCCAUCCCCUUUGCCUGAUUUCCACUUUCCCAGCUUCCUUCACCACAAGCAAUGCCAUGAGACACUCUUCUGGUCAAUGAGAUUUGAGAAGCCAGGUGGGAGCUCUGGCUGCUACACCACUGCUUACUUGCCUCUCUGCACAGGGUGCUGGAAUGUGGACAUGAUGCCUGGAGCUGCAGCAGCCUUGUUGGGUCAAUAAGACAUCAAGUAGGAGAAACAAAAGCCAACACUGCUAGUAAUAUUCUAUUUCCUGAUUGUUACAUUUGUAACAUGUAACACACAACAUUUUGUGAGAAUUCAAGGAGCUGUGCAUUUUUCUGUUAGUGUGUUAUACCUCACCAAAACAGUUAGGUAAAAAUCUAACACCCUGAGGAUGGCAGAGCAAACCCCUGAAAACAUGGGUGAACUGGUUAACCAGCCUCAAAUACUGUAACUCGGAGCUUCUGAUUAAGAGAAUCAAAAGCCUUUGUUGCUUAAUUACUAGGUUUUCUAAUACUUGCA
rnacentral:lncRNA from 1 species